GAUAAAUUCGUGCUAGACGGGAGUGCUUCGAGCUUUUUGUAAAGGUGAAGCCUUCAGCAUUCAAAUCUCAUCAAACCAAGUUAAGAAAUCUAGGCCGUUUGCUGUGAAAUUAUAUCGUCGAAGAGAUAAAUCAACAAGGUUCGACGAGCGGCUCUAAGGGAAAUGAGGUAGUUGAAGAAUUAGCUUAAAUUACUGCCUGUAGCAUGUUUAGCAUAUUUUUGUUUAUAUGCAAACCUAUGUAAUUUUGGAUAUGUUUAAGAUGUUCAGUUAUCAC